GCGGCGCAAGUGGAUGGCCGCCUCGCUCUCCAAAUACGCAGUGUUUGGAGGGUAGGGGAGGAAAGUCCGGACUCCAUAGGGCAGGGUGCCCGGUGAUUAAGCCGGGGUUCCCGGGAUAAAACCCGGGAAACGGAAAGUGCCACAGAAACGAUACCGCCCGGCAGCUGAGCAAACGCUUGGCGGUCGGGUAAGGGUGCAAUGGCGGUGUAAGAGACCACCGCGCCGCCAGUGAUGGCGGCGGCAGGGCAAACCCCACCUGGAGCAAGAUCAAAUAAGAAACUGUAGUUAAGGCGGCCCGCCUUCGCCUCGGAGCAAAACUUCGGGGGCAGUUUCGGGUUGAUCGCCAUAAGGCUGGAGCGGUCUACGGGCCGCCACAGCCAGACAAAUGGCCAUCAUCCAGUCGGGAUCUGCAAAGAUUCAGAUUGGAUUACAGAAUCCGGCUUAUAGCUUCGCCGUCGUU
rnacentral:RNase_P_RNA from 1 species